UAGCCGCCGAAGGUGGGACAGAUAAUUGGGGUGAAGUCGUAACAAGGUAGCCGUAUCGGAAGGUGCGGCUGGAUCACCUCCUUUCUAAGGAA
rnacentral:rRNA from 1 species